GUCGAACGCAGUAGCAAUACUGAGUGGCAAACGGGUGAGUAUAAUGUGGGAAUCUGCCUUUUGGUUCGGAAUAACACGAGGAAACUUGUGCUAAUACCGGAUAAGCCCUUACGGGGAAAGUUUUAAUGCCAAAAGAUGAGCCCGCACUUGAUUAGCUAGUUGGUAAGGUAAUGGCUUACCAAGGCAACGAUCAAUAGCUGUUCUUAGAGGAAGACCAGCCACAUUGGGACUGAGACACGGCCCAAACUCCUACGGGAGGCAGCAGUGGGGAAUCUUGCACAAUGGGGGAAACCCUGAUGCAGCGAUGCCGCGUGAGUGAUGAAGGCCUUCGGGUCGUAAAACUCUGUCCUAAGGGAAGAUAAUGACGGUACCUUAGGAGGAAGCCCCGGCUAACUACGUGCCAGCAGCCGCGGUAAU
rnacentral:rRNA from 1 species